rnacentral:rRNA from 1 species
CAGUAGCCGCGGUAAUACGGAGGGAGCUAGCGUUAUUCGGAAUUACUGGGCGUAAAGCGCACGUAGGCGGCUUUGUAAGUUAGAGGUGAAAGCCUGGAGCUCAACUCCAGAAUUGCCUUUAAGACUGCAUCGCUCGAAUCCAGGAGAGGUGAGUGGAAUUCCGAGUGUAGAGGUGAAAUUCGUAGAUAUUCGGAAGAACACCAGUGGCGAAGGCGGCUCACUGGACUGGUAUUGACGCUGAGGUGCGAAAGCGUGGGGAGCAAACAGGAUUAGAUACCCCUGUAGUCCCUGUCUCUUAUAA